UACAGAGGGUGCAAGCGUUAAUCGGAUUUACUGGGCGUAAAGCGUGCGCAGGCGGCUUCGCAAGUCAGACGUGAAAUCCCCGGGCUUAACCUGGGAAUGGCGUUUGAAACUACGGAGCUGGAGUGUGGCAGAGGGAGGUAGAAUUCCACGUGUAGCGGUGAAAUGCGUAGAUAUGUGGAGGAAUACCGAUGGCGAAGGCAGCCUCCUGGGCCAACACUGACGCUCAUGCACGAAAGCGUGGGGAGCAAACAGG
rnacentral:rRNA from 1 species